rnacentral:rRNA from 1 species
GACGAACGCUGGCGGCGUGCUUAACACAUGCAAGUCGAACGGAAAGGCCCUGCUUUUGUGGGGUGCUCGAGUGGCGAACGGGUGAGUAACACGUGAGUAACCUGCCCUUGACUUUGGGGUAACUUCAGGAAACUGGGGCUAAUACCGGAUAGGAGCUCCUGCUGCAUGGUGGGGGUUGGAAAGUUUCGGCGGUUGGGGAUGGACUCGCGGCUUAUCAGCUUGUUGGUGGGGUAGUGGCUUACCAAGGCUUUGACGGGUAGCCGGCCUGAGAGGGUGACCGGACAAAGGGGGAGAGGAAUGCGGCCUGGGCGCCAACGGGAUGCAGCAGGGGCGCGUGGGGGACGACGGACGGAGGGUUGACGCCGCAACGCGGCGGGGGGGAGGAGGGCUUUAGGGUUGUAGACCACUUAGCCCUGGGAAAAAGCGUGACAGAAGGUGGUGUGAAAAGAGGAACCGCCUCGCUACUUG